AAGGCAUAGUGUGGACAUUUUUUGAACAUCUCUUUAUACCUUUCCCAAACUUCAUAGAGUGAUUCGCCCUCCUUUUGGGAAAAGGAAUUAAUUUCAUUCCUCAACCG